CGGGGAAUAUUGCACAAUGGGCGGAAGCCUGAUGCAGCGACGCCGCGUGGGGGAUGAAGGCCUUCGGGUUGUAAACUCCUUUCGACAGGGACGAAGCUUUUGUGACGGUACCUGUAUAAGAAGCACCGGCUAACUACGUGCCAGCAGCCGCGGUAAUACGUAGGGUGCGAGCGUUGUCCGGAAUUACUGGGCGUAAAGAGCUCGUAGGUGGUUUGUCGCGUCGUCUGUGAAAUUCCGGGGCUUAACUCCGGGCGUGCAGGCGAUACGGGCUGACUUGAGUGCUGUAGGGGAGACUGGAAUUCCGGGUGUAGCGGUGAAAUGCGCAGAUAUCAGGAGGAACACCGAUGGCGAAGGCAGGUCUCUGGGCAGUAACUGACGCUGAGGAGCGAAAGCAUGGGUAGCGAACAGG
rnacentral:rRNA from 1 species